GAACACGUCAUGAAUGUUUUCCAAUUUGGGUGGCAACACCAAACGAUAGGCUAACGACACAAUUCUUUCACUAAUCUCGUACGGUCCAAUAAAUCGCGGACUCAGUUUACCUUUUCGACCAAAUCUCAAUACCUUUUUCCAUGGAGAUACUUUCAAGAAUGCUCUAUCUCCAACUUGAAACUCAAUCUCCUUUCUUUUCAGAUCAGCAUAAGACUUUUGCCUAUCUGAUGCCG
rnacentral:lncRNA from 1 species